UAUUUGUAAGUGUGUAUUGUAUCACAUGGUUCUUCUUCCUCUUUUAAGUUCUCAACUUUUUUUUUUUGCAAAUGUUUAAGUUCUCAACUUUCUUUUGUCUUAUAUUAGUCAUAAUGAUGGGUGUUGUUCUUAUGCAGGGUUUGCUAGUUAGAUUCGAUGGAAAUUUUCUGAAAAGAAAAGGAGCAUCUCAAGACAUAGAGGAGAUGCGACUCAAAACUUAAAAAGGAGAAGAGGUCUCAAGAAAUACAGUUGAUGAAGAUUUUUUCUGAUGCUCCUUUACUUCACUACUAAAUCGACUCAGUUUCACACCAUCAUCAAAGAGUGUAGAUGAAAACAUGGAGACAAAAAAUGAGGAUAAAAAGAAGAAGAAGAAGAAGAAGAAAAGGAAGAAAAAGAAUUUUGGAUUUACGAAGUUCUUAUCAUAAAUUCUACUUAAGUGUCUUAUAACCAUUUUCUAUGUAGCUUUGAAUUCCGCUUCCUUCAUCUUGUUUUAAGUUUCUCUAUAUUUUUCUUUUAGUUUUUUUUUUGUUCUUCGUCAGAUUUAUUAUAUUUCACUAAAAAUUUAAUUAAAGAAUUUAUUCAUUGA